GAUGCUUACGAAAACAUUUCCAUUUCCUCCCUCCAAAAUAUUUCUAUAGCAUUCCCAGACCAUGCAUUAAACAUGACACUAGUUUUAAUUUAAAGGGCAGAAUUGCAGUUUCAUAAAUGUUGCAGAAAUCGUUUUCUUAGUGUUAUCGACCAGAAUGUUUGUAACAUUAAAAUUACAGCAGUGUACAAUAGAAACCGCAUAAAAGAUGGGGUUUGGAUUGCUGAAUGGAUUUCCUGACUACAUACACGACUCGUUACUACAAGCAGUUACUGUGCCACCGCUAAUCUCCACGAUUCACAAAUCACCACAGCACCAGUUAAGCCUUUUUCCAGCUUGCUGUGUCUUCAUCAGCCAUUACCUGGCAACGACUUCUAACAGUGGAGAUUCUUCAGCUGGACACUCUGAGGUUCUGUCUUCAAAGCCUCCUUUGCAGAACUGACUAUCAGCUGACAAAUGACCAGGUAUAACUUUGCCCAUUGCUUAUAACAUCUUGGCACAUUCCAUGUAGAAACAUUUUUGUUUUGUUUUGUUUCUGACGUCACGAAGCAGCAACAGCUCUCCAACAACCGCGCCGAGACAAUGGCUCUGUCAUCAUUCGCACCAUAGGCAGCUGUUCGUACUGGCGCACGCAGCACUGCUUCACCGGCCAGCCAGACCAGCUGAACAGCCAUGAAGAAGACCUGGUCUGCUGCAAAGCAGCUAAAGCUACUAGUGAAAGCACGAUUGAACAAACGGCCCUUUUCUGGGCCCACAAACUUGUGAGCAACUAUUCUGUACAUUCGAGAAUAAUAUAUACAAUUGUUAUAGUUUUA